UACGUAGGCAGCAAGCGUUGUUCGGAAUUACUGGGCGUAAAGAGUGUGUAGGCGGUGCUCUAAGUCUGUUGUGAAAUCUCCCGGCUUAACCGGGAGGGUGCGGCGGAAACUAGAGUGCUAGAGGGUGGGAGAGGUAAGCGGAAUUCCUGGUGUAGCGGUGAAAUGCGUAGAUAUCAGGAGGAACACCUGUGGUGUAGACAGCUUACUGGACCACUUCUGACGCUGAGACACGAAAGCGUGGGUAGCAAACAGG
rnacentral:rRNA from 1 species